GACAGAGGGGGCAAGCGUUGCUCGGAAUCACUGGGCGUAAAGGGCGCGUAGGCGGGUUGGCAAGUCGGUCGUGAAAUCCUUCGGCUCAACCGAAGAACGUCGGCCGAUACUGCUGUUCUUGAGGGAUGCAGAGGAGAUUGGAAUUCCCGGUGUAGCGGUGAAAUGUGUAGAGAUCGGGAGGAACACCAAUGGCGAAGGCAGCUCGCUGGGACGGUACUGACGCUGAGACGCGAAAGCGUGGGGAGCAAACAGG
rnacentral:rRNA from 1 species